AUGAGAGAGCCAAACUAGAGUCGGAGUGACUAGCGAAGCGGAGUGAGUGUAUCGGUGUUUGUUAUUCAUGUUUGAUCUCGAUGCAACGAGUGCAAGAAGAUGAACAUGUGCAUACCAAUGUGGAAAUGAGUACCUGAAAGUGCGAAAAACGUUUCGCACAUGUGCGACAAUUUAGAAACAGAUGCAAAGUGCACGAAAAUGUGGGGAAACCCCCACCUGUGCUGGAAUCUCUGAUAUGUGGUAGUUCCUCUCAAAACGUUUACUUUUUAAUUAUUAUGAUCUGUGAUUGCCGGUGGUAGCAGAGGUUUCCUCACCUAAUUUUUUGCUGUGUUGGUGUAUCCUUGGACCGUAACUUUCAUCCUGCCGACUCCCGUUACGUCAAACCGUGACAUGCCGCGAAGGAAAGGCCACGGAGUGUCCCCCGCAAAACGAGCCCAAGUAAAUAAGGAUGAUCAUCAAGCAAAAAAGAAAUCAGUGGAGACCAAUGCGGAGGCUGUGGUCGCGGAACCCCGGGCACCUAACGGCAGCCACGAGGCCGUGUCCCCAGCGCAG